GGUUCUCUAUAGAUAUUGAUCUUGACGCUCCAAAAGUCUUAAUUCCUGCACUCAAAGAUGAAGGAAUUGGAAAGAAAAGCCAAUUGUUGGUAGACUUGGGACAUUUUAAUCUUCGAACACUGGUACGUGCAUAAGAUGCAUAUAAAACUUACAACAUCCUUCUUCAGGGGAAUGACGACGUUGAGUUCCUGAAACGAAGUCGCUACACUAAACUUUAUGUAUCUGGACGGGAUAUAUCGGCUUUCUUUGUUGAUGGUGAUUUCGAAUGGGCUCACUUUCCUGCGCUGGCCACAGAUGCUGGUGACAAUGCAUAUUCAAUCUUUCCUGUACUUGACCGUUGUGGGAUGUCGAUUAUGCUGCAUAUGGUGAAGCUAGUUACGACAUAGUUUGUGGUUAUUAUGUUCCAGGCUCAAUAUGAAGAUUUGAAUUGGCCUUCAACAUGCGUUGCAAUUGAAGUUCCUCGCCUUGGUAUCCAUUUUUCUCCUGCAAGAUACCUUAGGCUGCUCUAUCUUCUGCACGCUCUGGAGUCGGCUGACCGUUCCAGCUCCCAGCCGAACGCUUUAUCUUGGGAACCAUCAGAGGCAGCUGGAGAUGCACGAGUGCUUUUGUGGGGGGUAAAUUGUUACUUUCCUCGUUCAUCAGCAUCUAAGCAUCACUCAUUCUGCAGGGAAUUGGUAAUAUUACUGCAGAAUGGCAGCCUUGUUGGAUUGCAUUGGCAGGGCCAUACCUGUACGUUCUAGAGGCAUAAGACUCAAAGAACAGCCCACAUCAAUGCAUAAGCUCUCCUCAAAGGACAGGAGGAAAGCCUCCUCUACCCUGGAAAUCCCAAGCUUUUUUGGAGAAUAUCACACUCUAGAGUCUCUACUGCAAUGAAAGGCCCAUGACAUAUUUGAAACUCUCGCUUAAGCAUCUUGCAUUGGAGAUUUCCCUUGUGGCCAGAGAUGAGUGCAGUGAUGUUGUGAGGUUUAUUUAUGAUGCACUUGCACUGGACACACUUCUUCCAGUAAAAUCUGAACCACAUGACGUACUCUAGUCUAGAUUCACAUGCUUCUUGUCGAAAAAUGAACAAGGUUAUGAGUAAGUGAUUUGCUAGUCAUUAUUGAUCAAAGUGAUUUUGAAAAAAUGCUUUGAAUGUGGAGUAGUUAACUAUGUUUGCCUCCAAAAGAGUUUUUUUCCAUGUUACUUGGCCAAUGAGUGAUUGCAAAAAGUUGUAAAGCUUGUAAUCAUCCUUGCCAAUGCUAUUUGAUGGACAAUAUUGUUCAAAGUGAGUGAUAUAUGUUUUGGCAAAGAUGUCACCAUUGCUAAAUAAGUAUGGCAAGUUAAUGCCUUGCUAUAAAAUAUGGAUGUGCAUGGGGAGAACCAUCAAUGGUAUACUCUUUCACUUAGUAUCUAUGGUAAACAAUGUUUCUUUCUUGCUAGAAAGAGCAUUUUGGUAAUCUAGCUUGCAUAGAAGGUGUGAAAACAUCCCUAUAUCCUAUGCAUUAUAUGAAAGAUUACUAGCUGCCAUCUCUGGCUUAAACAAGUUUGAACUAGCAUAAAGUGUCUAAUAUGUAGUAAAUGCAUUAAAGAAUUUUAAUUUGUGUGAGAAUAAAAUGUCCAAAAUGGGAUAGUUCCAAAUAAAUAAGCAAACUACUGUGGAUUUCCCCUAACCAAGAUUGUUGUCCUUUUGCAAAUCUCAAUUCCUCAUAAAGAAAAGAGAAAUUUAGCUAUAAAAUUGAAGAAAGAUAUGAAAGAUAUCAUGAAAGAAUAUAGAUAUAGGAUAUCACCUAAAAACAAUGGAAUAAAAAACAAAGAAAACAAGCUAUAACACUCAAAAUGUCUCAAAGUGAAUAUAAUUUGAUAGAAAUCUCUCAAACUCUGGCUACAAAAUUUGAUAUAGACUCAUUAAAAAAACUUAUAUUUAAACAAAGAGAAUGAGAUUAAAAAGAUGGAGCUAAAACACCAAAAUGCCUAUAGAAAACUAAUUUAAACAUUAAAUUUAUAACUCAUGUAAUUAUGGGAUAAGAUUUGGAUAUAUUAUUAUUAUGAAUCUUUGGAACCUUGAGGAUCCAUUUAGACACUUUCCCCAUCUCAACACACACAUUUUGAGUCUUCAAGUGAUAAAUAUGUUAAAGGCUAUAUUAUCAAAUAAUUUCCCCUUUUUUAAUUGGUUGGUGAAAUUUUUUUUGCUACCUUGGAGUUAGAAAAUAUAUGGUGCUUGCUUCACUUAGAUUAGGAUCAACUUAUUGUAGUUAGUGAUGAAGCACAAGUGAAAGAUCAUGAGAGGGAGACAAGUGGGAGAUUAUUUCAAGCUUAGAUAGAAAGUUUGAUGAUUUACAAAUGAAAAAAGUCUAUAUUAAUGGGAAUAAUAGUAUAUAGAUCCUUGAAUUAAAUUUAUUUUUAUUAAAUAAUUGCCUUUUCUCCAGUAGACUUAAAUAAAAUAUGUUACAUUUGGUUAGCAUGUGUUGAAAGAAGGGGCACAACAUUCAUACAUAGAAGAAAAAAUAUUUAAAAAAAGAGGGGCACAUAGGAGAAAUAUAAAGUGGAAAAAAAAUAUUAAAAAAAAGAGAUAAAAAGAGAGGAAGAUGUUACCAAGAAGAGAGAAAAAAUAUUAAAAAAAGAGGAGGAAGACUUUUAAAGAGGAUAAAAAAUAUUAAAAACGAAGGAGAGAGGAAAAGGCCUAUGGCNNNNNNNNNNNNNNNNNNNNNNNNNNNNNNNNNNNNNNNNNNNNNNNNNNNNNNNNNNNNNNNNNNNNNNNNNNNNNNNNNNNNNNNNNNNNNNNNNNNNNNNNNNNNNNNNNNNNNNNNNNNNNNNNNNNNNNNNNNNNNNNNNNNNNNNNNNNNNNNNNNNNNNNNNNNNNNNNNNNNNNNNNNNNNNNNNNNNNNNNNNNNNNNNNNNNNNNNNNNNNNNNNNNNNNNNNNNNNNNNNNNNNNNNNNNNNNNNNAGGAGAAAAAUUGUAUAAAUAGACUUCGUUUGCAAGGAGGUGGAAACUGAUCAAAAUGCAGCGAUCCAAACUCCAGGCUCCAGUCGCCUCUGCGGCAUUACUCCUGGUGCUAGCACUGCUGCGGCGCUAUGCAUUUCGCCAGGGAUCACCAACAAUGUCAUCGGAGCUCUCAACUUCUUUCUAUGCUAGCACUUAUCCCGAUCUCCCUCAGAUCGUGAGAAGUGUGAUUCACUCUGAAUUUUCCAACGACAGUCGAUCUGCUGCGUCGAUCCUCAAGCUCCACUUCCGAGAUUGCUUCUCUCGAGUAAGUCAGAAAUUAAAAUAGCGUUACUCAUUUAUGGCUGCCAGGGCUGCGACGGAUCGCUGCUCCUCCAGCGAGGAGAUGGGCGCUCCGCCAAGGGACUCAAAACCAUCAACAACGUCAAGCGCGCCGUGGAGACUUCAUGCCCGGCAACAGUAUCGUGCGCAGACAUUCUUGCGCUGAGCGCCCGGGAAUCCGUCAUAGCUGUGAGUGAGACUCUCCAUCUUGAGUUGAUCAUUCUCUUUCGACUUUGCAGCUGGGCGGCCCUUCAUGGACAGUAGAAUUUGGCCGACGGGACAGUCCUGCGACCGUCGCCGCCGCAAUGGAGGCCAUUCCCAGCCCAAACCUCACUGCAACGCAGCUCAUCCAGAGCUUCCAAAGGCGGGGUCUUUCCAAGCGUGAUCUCGUAGCGCUUUCAGGAGGCCACUCCAUCGGCCAGGCCCAGUGCUCUGCAUUUAGCGCACGCCUCUUCAAUGGAACCCCAGGAGAUAGCAUCGAUCGGGCCUUCAAAUCUCGACUCGAGAAGAAUUGCCCUCCAACAGCCCCAGACAAAUUGACCAAUUUGGAUCCAUCCCCCACCACCUUCGACAACUUGUACUUUCGAGCUCUCCUGGCGAAUCAGUCGCUCCUCUUUUCAGACCAGCAGCUCUUGGAGAUUGAUCUGGUGGGCUUUGUCAAGGAGUUUGCGGCCAACCAGCAGACAUUCUUUACCGCCUUCGCCAAUGGCAUGAUCAAAAUGGGCAAGCUCUCGCCAAUCACAGGAGGGCAUGGUGAAAUUCGAUCCUCGUGCUAGUUUUUUUCCUAUACAUGUAAAUCUAUUCCCCACAUAAAAAUAUACACCACAGCCCUGACUAUAGAGAAAGGAAUGUUGGCAUAUCCCGUAGCUUGAUGAUGGUGGUGGAAAUUUUCUCGUCCUGAUAAAUCACUCUGGUGAGAGAUUCCAUUCUUCCCAAUCAAGAUCCCCCUUAAGCUCAGCCACUUGGCCAAUGAGCCAAGAUUUUCGCCGCGAGCCAGGGCACGUCAUCGCAGCUGCCAAGGAUGAUAGAGUCCUUCAAAGAGGACAUUCCAAGACAUUGGUAGUCAACCACGAGGAAAUCCACUUCAGAAAUAACACCUUGCACUGAGACCUUGACGAAAUUUCAAUUGCCACGGUUAGGAAUCUUCAACUCUUAAACCCUAACGUUAAUAUAUAUAAACCUUAGGUUUUAGACGUAUUGCCACGCAAUGGCGAAAAUUCACUGGCAUAUACUUGCUUGCUGUGGAGAAAAUUUUGUGCUGCCUAGGGCUAGCUAGGCGCUGCGAUCGGCAGGAGUGAUGCGCUUGGGCGCUCGGUGUCGUCAUGUUUGAGGCUCAUGUGAGUGAUCGAUCGCUAGUUUGGGGAUUGGAGAGAUGGAUUGCAUUGGCGGACUGGAUUGAGCUCGCGAUUUUCUCCAUUUCUUGUUUCUGCAGGUCUUGUAUCUUCUUCGCAGAUACCUGGGCCAGUAUGUGCGGGGUCUCUCAGCGGAGGCGCUCCAGAUCAGUGUGUGGAAAGGUGAGAGCUAGAUCUUUUGCUCGGGGGGUGUUGAAAUUUUGGUGUUUUUUGGACAGGCGAUGUAGUGCUCAAGGACUUGCAGCUCAAGGCUGAAGCACUGAAUGCUCUGAGGCUUCCUCUCACUGUCAAAGCUGGAUUCCUUGGGUCUGUCACGUUGAAGGCAAGGCAUUGAUCAAGAAAAGUGUACCUUCGAUUCUUAUGCUUUCGUUUUUCUUAGAUUCCUUGGAACAAGCUUGGAAAAGAUCCGGUGAUUGUACUUCUCGACCGGGUUUUUGUUUUGGCGGAACCUGUUGAAGAUGAACAGCUUUUCAAGGUACGAUUUGGUUUUUAGCUUCAAGCGUUACGGAAACUUUCGUGAAAUGCGGUUGCAGAACGAGAACAUGGAAUCCUGGCUUGACGCUAAGCGGAGCCAGAUUGAGGUUAGUACAUACUUGCCUGUGAAGUUUAUUCUCAAACGCUUUUUUGUGUCUUUAAGGAGCUGGAGAUGGCAUUGCUUGAUGCGAAGGCAGGAAGAUCCGGUGAUGAUGCGGUAUGUGCCGCAAAAUGCUGUUUGAGGUUUCGUGUUAAAUUUUCUGUUUUCUGCAGUCGCCGGAAAGUAAGUCCUGGUUAGGCUCGCUCGUUGCGACGAUCAUUGGCAAUCUUAAAGUCUCCGUGACUAAUCUUCAUAUUCGUUACGAAGACACCCUCAGGUCGCUUUCAUCUCUAUCAAGCUAAAUGCCGGUACUGAUACUGGCUUCAUUUUUCAGCAACCCCUCCCAUCCAUUUUGUUUUGGCGUUACUUUAGCCAAAACUUGCCGCUGUGACCAUUGACGAGAAUGAUGUAGAAACCUUCGUAACUAGCGGAGCUCUUGACAAGCUUCACGAGGUAUUUUGAUCAAUUUUGUAACGUGUACUUCAGUUUCUUUUUUCCUGCUUGCUGUGCAGUCGCUCCAGCUGGAUAGUUUUUCUAUCUACCAUGACUCGGAUACUGGGCCGUGGACUCUGGAGAAACGGUGGGAUGAGAUGACAUCCAAAGAAUGGAGCGAGGUUUGUGUUUCCUUCAAUGAAAACAGCAUUUAAAAUUAUUAUGGUUUCAGAUGUUUGAACCGAGUAUUAAAGGGAAAAUACAACACAAGUACCUGCUUCAUCCGGUUGCUGGCCUGAUGAAGUAUCACCGGUGUGGAAAGAGAGAGAAAAGGGAUUCUAAAACACCUUUUCAGAAGGCUUCUCUCGUUUUGGAUCAAGUGUCUAUUGCUGUGUCUGAGGUUGGUUUCUCUAAAUGCUACACUUGGGUUAACUUUCAUUCUGUUUUAGGAUCAAUAUCGGGAUGGUAUUCAACUGUUGGAGGGUGUUUCACGGUACAGGAUACGAAUGGAGUUCUCUCUCUUCAGACCUAUGAUACCCGUGUUGGUAGAUGCUAAGGCAUGGUGGCGCUAUGCUGGUCGUGCGGUAACGCAGCAGCAGAGAAAGUCAAGGUUCGUUUUGAUAUUUAACCGAGUAUGCUAAAGCAAAUUUUUGCAGGUGUAACUUCUCUUGGGAAAAUCUGUCUCGAGCAUCAGGAUUACGAAAGAAAUAUGUGGAUCUUUAUGUUAGCGGGCUCCAGCAGGGCAAGUUUGACAAUUUUGAAAUAAGGCAAAUCGACCGGGAGCUAGACGUAGAAGUUAAUCUACUUUGGAGGUCGGUAGUUUGUGUAUGCUUUCUGUUAGUUGAUGGAGAAGUGGUGGCUGCAGAAUGCUUGCCCAUGCAAAAGUUGAGACGGCAAAGUUAAAAGAGGCAGCCGCGGCCCGGGAAAAGUCCAGGAAAAGCACCUGGUGGCCAUUUGGCGGGUAUUGUGGCAUAUGUUUUCAUUUGUUUUACAUUAAUCGCUUGCUAUGCAGGAGCGGCGCUGGUCCAAGGGCCUCAGUUGCCCAAGGCCCUGAAACGGAAGCGGCCCCAGCGCAACUUACAAAGGAAGAAUGGAAUAAGAUUAACGAGCUUCUAAGCUAUCAACCGGGGCAAGACUAUCCGCUGCUUUCUACUCAAGAGCCACAGAACAUGCUGCAAACAAUGCUCGACGUGACCAUAAAACAGAGCUUGGCGUGCAUAAAAGACAGCACCGAUUUGGUCAUAUUAUGUGGGACUUUCUCCAAUUUAAACGUUUCUCUCAAGCUGUUCCCGAAAACGUUCUUCUGCGACACUAAGUUGACGUACUAUGGCCUUUCAUCUCCAGAGGGGCCUCUCGUUUCGGUAAGCUGAAUGGAAUUUGCAUGUCUUAAGAUGAUAAUAUCUGUCUGGUUUGACAGAGCGUGAGUAGAGAGGGAAGAGCACAAGCGUUGGAUUUGACGUUUGUGUAUGUUCCUUUCGAAGAACAUUUGGAUUGGAAGCUGUCUGUCACGAUGUCAUCAUGCUAUGUGACGGUAACGUUUUGUGUUGAAAGAGUUCAUCCCAGCUUACAUAAUGCGUGCAGGUUUGGAGAUCCAGUUUUGACAGGGUCAUGCACUUUAUGAAAUCUGGCCAAGCUAUGAGCCCGACAGUGGCUUUGGAAACUGCUGUCGCUUUGCAGGUAUGAGGCUCCGUAGCAAAAAUAUAUGUUACUCAUUUCACAGUGCAUGCAUGCCAGACAAAGCUAGAAGAGGUAACGAGGCGUGCUCAAGAACGGAUACUAUCUCAACUAGAGAAACAGAGAAGGUAUUCAAAAGUUUAUGCUACUCUUUUUGGCUUGACUUUUUCUUGCAUGCAGGUUCUCUAUAGAUAUUGAUCUUGACGCUCCAAAAGUCUUAAUUCCUGCACUCAAAGAUGAAGGAAUUGGAAAGAAAAGCCAAUUGUUGGUAGACUUGGGACAUUUUAAUCUUCGAACACUGGUACGUGCAUAAGAUGCAUCUAAAACUUACAACAUCCUUCUUCAGGGGAAUGACGACGUUGAGUUCCUGAAACGAAGUCGCUACACUAAACUUCAUGUAUCUGGACGGGAUAUAUCGGCUUUUCUUUGUUGAUGGUGAUUUCGAAUGGGCUCACUUUCCUGCGCUGGCCACUGAUGCUUGUGACGCCGCUUAUUCAAUCCUGCCUGUGCUCGACCGUUGUGGGAUGUCGAUUAUGCUACAUAUGGUGAUGCUAGUUACGACAUAGUUUGUGGCUAUUGACUUUAUGUUCCAGGCUCAAUAUGAAGAUUUGAAUUGGCCUUCAACAUGCGUUGCAAUUGAAGUUCCUCGCCUUGGUAUCCAUUUUUCUCCUACAAGAUACCUUAGGCUGCUCUAUCUUCUGCACGCUCUGGAGUCGGCUGACCGGUCCAGCUCCCAGCCGAACGCUUUAUCUUGGCAACCAUCAGAGGC
rnacentral:lncRNA from 1 species